rnacentral:rRNA from 1 species
CCAACCGGCGAACGGGUGCGUAACACGUGAGCAACCUGCCGUUUUGGUGGUGGGGGAGUAGCCGGGCUAACGCCCGGGUAAUACCGCAUACGGUUGCCGAGGGGAGUCCCUUGGCAAAGAAACCUCCGGGGCACAGAGAGGGGCUCGCGGCCUAUCAGCUAGUUGGGGGGGUAAUGGCCCACCAAGGCGACGACGGGUAGCUGGUCUGAGAGGAUGGCCAGCCACAUUGGGACUGAGAGACGGCCCAG